CUUACCUACUCUUGACAUCCAGAGAACUUUCCAGAGAUGGAUUGGUGCCUUCGGGAACUCUGAGACAGGUGCUGCAUGGCUGUCGUCAGCUCGUGUUGUGAAAUGUUGGGUUAAGUCCCGCAACGAGCGCAACCCUUAUCCUUUGUUGCCAGCGGUUCGGCCGGGAACUCAAAGGAGACUGCCAGUGAUAAACUGGAGGAAGGUGGGGAUGACGUCAAGUCAUCAUGGCCCUUACGAGUAGGGCUACACACGUGCUACAAUGGCGCAUACAAAGAGAAGCGACCUCGCGAGAGCAAGCGGACCUCAUAAAGUGCGUCGUAGUCCGGAUUGGAGUCUGCAACUCGACUCCAUGAAGUCGGAAUCGCUAGUAAUCGUAGAUCAGAAUGCUACGGUGAAUACGUUCCCG
rnacentral:rRNA from 1 species